rnacentral:misc_RNA from 1 species
GAUGAAGAACGCAGCGAAAUGCGAUAAGUAGUGUGAAUUGCAGAAUUCAGUGAAUCAUCGAAUCUUUGAACGCACAUUGCGCCCCUUGGUAUUCCAUGGGGCAUGCCUGUUCGAGCGUCAUUUGUACCUUCAAGCUUUGCUUGGUGUUGGGUGUUUGUCUCGCCUUUGCGUGUAGACUCGCCUUAAAAUAAUUGGCAGCCGGCGUAUUGAUUUCGGAGCGCAGUACAUCUCGCGCUUUGCACUCAUAACGACAGCGUCCAAAAGUACAUUUUACACUCUUGACCUCGGAUCAGGUAGGGAUACCCGCUGAACUUAAGCAUAUCAAUAAGCUGAGGA